UCUCAAAGUCAUUGUCUCUCAUUAGUGUAGAUGUUGCUCCUGGUGAUCAUUAUAUUUUCUUUCCUAAAAGAGAAUGAUGCUGCUGAUGUCAUAAAACCAGUCUUCACAGAGAAGCAGGUUUUGGCAGGAAAAAAUGUUACACUGAUCUGCAACUACACUGGAAAUGUUCAGAAUUUACAGUGGUACCGUCAAUAUCCUGGAUCCGAACCCGAGCACCUCAUUAUGUUCUUUGAAACCAGCCCUAAACCAGAGCCUGCUCUCCGUCUGACCGCUGCAGCUGAUAAAGAAGCCAAAAGUAUGAAUCUGACCAUCUCUUCUACAGAAGUGAAAGACUCUGCCAUGUACUACUGUGCCCUGGAGCCCACAGUGACAGGAAACACAACUAGACUGUACAAAAACUGAAUGAGAAAUAUAUUUACAGAAGAUGAUGAUGCACAAUAAAUAGUUUAAAACUAUACUCUUUAUAAAAUGGACACUCAACUGCUACAUAUUGGAAUAAAUUUUAAACACGUGUACAAGUGGUAGUGCAUCCUGAUUCUCAGAAAUAUUAAGACUACAUUUUAUGGAUAUGAAAAGCAACUUAAUGCUUGAAACUUUUGACAUCUGUACACUGCAAUUUUUGUAUAAUAUCAUAAAUUAGAGAGACAAAAUGUCAUUUUAGCUUGUAGACUACAGUUUAUUCAUGUACUGACCAUACAUGUAGGGUGAGAUGAGUGAGUAGGUAUGUGUGGGAGGAGCUCAAUGUGUUGUCAACUUCAGCAGAAGAACUCAAGAGGUUCAAUCUUAGUUUAGUUCUUGACUUUCAAAGUCACCGGCUCUCAUUAGUGUAGAUGUUGCUCCUCAUAUUCAUUAUAUUUUCUCUCCUAAAAGGUGAGUGAUUUAUAACAAUUACUGUGGAAAUGCUGUUUUUCUCCUUUUUAUACUGUUGAGAUUGUCAAUGAAUUAGUCCAUUAGAAAUUAUUAAUUAAAACGUUGUUUGUUAUAUACAGAGAAUGCUGGUGAAGAUGUCAUAAAACCAGUCUACACACAGAAGCAGGUUUUGGCAGGAAAAGAUGUUACACUGAUCUGCAACUACACUGGCACUGUUCGCAGUUUACAGUGGUACCGUCAGCAUCCCGGAUCCAAACCCAAUCACCUCAUUAUGUUCAUUGAGACCAAGCCUAAAUCAGAGCCCACUCUCCGUCUGAGUGCUGCGGCUGAUAAUGCCCUGGAGCCCACAGUAACAGGAAACACAACUUCACUGUGCAAAAACUGAAUGUGGAAUGACAUUCAGGAUGAUGCUCAGUUUAAAAACUUCAUAUAUAACCGUUAGAGAGACUAAUAAAUAAUAAUACAGUAAUAAAACACACUCAGUCAGCACGUAUGUACUACAUACGCAGCAAUAGUACUUAACAUUUUUCUAUGAAAAGUUACCAGCUCUGAAAGUUUUGUACAUUUAUAAACAUUUAACAGAGAGAUUCAAUGUGUUCCAAUCCCUGUUUAAAUACAAGAGACAUCAUGUGACUUCUAGAUACAGAAAAUGUAUUCUCAGCAGAACCAAUCUUUACCAAGAACAGUGACUAUGCUGUAUUCCAAAGAUGAUUCUCAGCAUACCCAAUGAAAGACCUCCUGAUACACUGUAUGCAGACUAUUAAAUGGUAAAGCUUUGUACCAAACUCUCCAUGAAGGAAGAACAUGGUGAACUUCUGAAGUAUGUGUGAAAGUAAUAUACUGUAUGAGUUGUGGGGGGUGGAGCUAGCUGAGGGGAAAGUCACUGCAAAACAAAACAACGGCACAAUGUCUCCUAAGACAGAAGAGGACUUUCAGUGAUCUUGAGAAAUCUUCACAAAAACGAUGUUGUUGCUCUGUCUGUUCAUACUUUUCAAUUACUUUGGUAAGAAAUUAUCUUUAAUU
rnacentral:lncRNA from 1 species